rnacentral:rRNA from 1 species
UACGUAGGGUGCAAGCGUUAAUCGGAAUUACUGGGCGUAAAGCGUGCGCAGGCGGUUCGCUAAGACAGAUGUGAAAUCCCCGGGCUUAACCUGGGAACUGCAUUUGUGACUGGCGGGCUAGAGUAUGGCAGAGGGGGGGUAGAAUUCCACGUGUAGCAGUGAAAUGCGUAGAGAUGUGGAGGAAUACCGAUGGCGAAGGCAAUCCCCUGGACCUGUACUGACGCUCAUGCACGAAAGCGUGGGGAGCAAACAGG